rnacentral:lncRNA from 1 species
UUUCUCUCUUGCAGUUUCAGAGCACUUAGCAGCCAUCUCUGGCUUGUGCCCACACAUGGGAAGUUUCACUGCAUUCUUGCACCCUAGUGGGAGAGCUCUCAAAGUCCCUUGAACAGACAGGAGGGAUCUUCCCUUUCUUCACUGGACUGUCCUGUUUGUUAUUGCCUGCGAGAAAAGGGGAAAGAACUUCAGUGCUUCCUUGAGAUGGCAUAAGCUUUCAAAUUUCACUUUCUUAAUGGUGUUAUAUGCAUUACUGGGCAUUGCAGGUGUUCCUUCCUUUUGUGUUGACAGAAGUCUUCAGAAAGUCUACUUCCAUGACUGGACCUUUGAUAAGAAGAGUUGAAGUACUUAGCAGUCUAAGUGCAGGAUGAUUGGUUUGAGCUUGUCAUGACACUUCAGCUCGUUGGCCUACCCUCUGCAAGAGUGCGGUAAGAAGCAAGUUCUUUGUUACAUAAGUUGAGCCGGGUUAGGAUUGCCCUGGAGAUGGAUCUUCCCAGCACACGUGCUGCAGUCACUGCAGUGUGCCCGUGGAGCAGCCAGAGCUCAGCAGCAAGUGCUGAGAUCUUCC